UGCCAGCAGCCGCGGGUAAUACGAAGGGUGCAAGCGUUACUCGGAAUUACUGGGCGUAAAGCGUGCGUAGGUGGUUCGUUAAGUCUUGAUGUGAAAUCCCYGAGCUCAACUUGGGAACUGCGUUUGAAACURCMAGRCUAGAAURUGUCAGAGGRGGGUAGAAUUCCMCGGUGUAGCAGUGAAAUGCGUAGAGAUGUGGAGGAAYACCWAUGGCGAAGGCAGCCCCCUGGGAUAAUAUUGCVCUCAUGCACGAAAGCGUGGGGAGCAAACAGGAUUAGAUUCCCUGGGUAGUCCAAGGGCNGAAU
rnacentral:rRNA from 1 species